AUAUACUAGCUUCGGCUGUACAUAUACAAAAAUUGGAACGCUAUAGAGAAGAUUAGCAUGGACACUGCGCAAAGACAACACGAAAAAUCGUGAAGCGGUACCCCAGCAU
rfam:Octopus bimaculoides Scaffold32817_contig_17, whole genome shotgun sequence.